rnacentral:rRNA from 1 species
AUCAAUAAGCGGAGGAAAAGAAAAUAACAAUGAUUCCCCCAGUAACGGCGAGUGAACAGGGAAAAGCUCAAAGUUGGAAGCUCCUGGCCCUAGGCUAGGCGCAUUGUAAACUAAAGCUGUAAAGUAGUUCGGUUGGCCUGGUAAAAAAGUUCCCUGGAAUGGGGCGACAUGGAGGGUGAAAUCCCCGUCUUUGGCCAGAGUUCAGCCGUGCGUUUGCUUUGCUGCGAAGAGUCAGGUUGUUUGGGAAUGCAGCCUAAAAUGGGAGGUAGACUUCUCCUAAAGCUAAAUAUUGACGAAAGACCGAUAGCGAACAAGUACCGUGAGGGAAAGAUGAAAAGCACUUUGAAAAGAGGGUCAAAAAGUACGUGAAAUUGCUGAAAGGGAACCGUAUGAAAUCAGCCUGAUGUAUGGGUAAUCAGCCUGGGCUUUGGCCUGGGUGCACUUGCCCAUGUAUUAGCCUGCGACAGUUUGACCUGGGGGAAAAAAGAUGGGGGAAUGUGGCCUCGGCUUCGGUCGAGGUGUUAUAGCCCCUGUCAAAAUACCUUGGGUUGGACUGAGGACUGCAGCGAGCCGUAAGGCAUGGGUCUCGGGCGCUCUGUCUUGGCGAAAAGUGAAUCUCUGCUUCGGGUGGUGCGCUUUUCUUCAGGGCAGACUCGCCUGUUUCUUCUUUCUCUCGCUUAGGUCGUAGCAUAAUGAUUUUUAUAUGAC